rnacentral:rRNA from 1 species
UACGUAGGGACCGAGCGUUGUCCGGAAUCAUUGGGCGUAAAGAGCGUGUAGGCGGCCACUUAAGUCCUGCGUGAAAUCUUGCGGCUCAACCGCAAGCGGUCGUGGGAAACUGGGUGGCUAGAGUGCGGGAGAGGAGAGUGGAAUUCCUGGUGUAGCGGUGGAAUGCGCAGAUAUCAGGAGGAACACCAAAGGCGAAGGCAGUGUCCUGGGGAGUACCUGACGCUCAGGUGCGAAAGCCAGGGGAGCGAACGGG